UACGUAGGGUGCAAGCGUUAUCCGGAAUUAUUGGGCGUAAAGAGCUCGUAGGCGGUUUGUCGCGUCUGCUGUGAAAACUGGAGGCUCAACCUCCAGCCUGCAGUGGGUACGGCAGACUAGAGUGUGGUAGGGAGACUGGAAUUCCUGGUGUAGCAGUGAAAUGCGUAGAGAUCAGGAGGAACACCGGUGGCGAAGGCGGGUCUCUGGGCCGAUACUGACGCUGAGGAAGCGAAAGCGUGGGGAGCGAACAGG
rnacentral:rRNA from 1 species